UACAGAGGGGGCAAGCGUUGUUCGGAAUUACUGGGCGUAAAGGGCGCGUAGGCGGCCCGCUAAGUCGAACGUGAAAUCCCCGGGCUCAACCCGGGAACUGCGUCCGAUACUGGUGGGCUCGAAUCCGGGAGAGGGAUGUGGAAUUCCAGGUGUAGCGGUGAAAUGCGUAGAUAUCUGGAGGAACACCGGUGGCGAAGGCGACAUCCUGGACCGGUAUUGACGCUGAGGCGCGAAAGCCAGGGGAGCAAACGGG
rnacentral:rRNA from 1 species